AUGCUCUGUAAUACCGAUUCUUGUUUCCAGCAAUCUGUUCUGUCUCCUGAUUCUGAACACGCACAUUCAUGUCGAUCACUCAUCUCCUUCAUUGGCGCUCUUCUUGUAGGUGUACCAGUUGGCGAUGGGCAGAUAGAUAGCAAAGUUAACGACGCUGAGCACGGUCAUCAGCCAGAAGAAGUAGUCGAGGUGGCCGACGUUGAGGUUCUUGGCCGGGAUCCACCCUUCCUUGCCGCCCCUCGUCGUCACCUUGGCCACCACCGUCACCAGCAGCGUGCUCACGUAGUUCCCGAGCGCCACCGUUGUCAGCGACAGCGCCGUGCACAUGCUCUUCAUGGCGUCGGGGGCCUGGUCGUAGAAGAACUCGAGCUGCCCCACGAAAACGAACACCUCGGCAGCGCCGACGAUGAAGUACUGCGGCACCUGCCAGAAGAUGGAGAUGGGCACUACGUCGUGCUCCCCGUACAGCCCGUGCCGAGCGAUGACGCGGAGGCGGACGAGCUCGAGUACAGCGGCGGCGACCAUGGAGAACAUGGAGACGACGAGGCCGAUGCCCAUUCGCUGGAGCUGGGUGAAGCCGCGCGGGUGACCGGUGACGGAGCGGACGGCCGGGACGAGGAGGCGGUCGUAGACGGGCACCCAGGCGAUGACGCUGAGGGUGUCGAAGAUGGUGAGCGAGGCGGAGGGGAUGGAGAAGUGCGGCCCCAUGGAGGCUUCCAGGGUGUUGCCCUGCAGCACGAACAUGGUGGUCGACUGCCCGUACACCGUCGCGAACACGAUGCCGCUCGCCCAGACGGGCAGCAGCCGGAUCACGCUCUUGAGUUCCUCCACCUGAGUCACCGUGCACAGCCGCCACGCGGAUGA
rnacentral:rRNA from 1 species